CCUACGGGUGGCAGCAGUAGGGAAUCUUCCACAAUGGGCGAAAGUCUGAUGGAGCAACGCCGCGUGGGUGAAGAAGGUCUUCGGAUCGUAAAACCCUGUUGUUAGAGAAGAAAGUGCGGGAGAGUAACUGUUCACGUUUCGACGGUAUCUAACCAGAAAGCCACGGCUAACUACGUGCCAGCAGCCGCGGUAAUACGUAGGUGGCAAGCGUUGUCCGGAUUGGUGGGGCGUAAGGGGAACGCAGGCGGUCUGUUAAGUCUGUUGUGAAAGCCUGCGGCUUAACCGGGGUAGUGCAUUGGAAACUGGGAGACUUGAGUGCAGAAGAGGCGAGUGGAAC
rnacentral:rRNA from 1 species